UUUCCGCAGGUGAACCUGCGGAAGGAUCAUUCAUAAUAGAGUGUUUUAUGGCACUUUUUAAAAAUCCAUAUCCACCUUGUGUGCAAUGUUAGAUCUCGUCAAUCUUGGCGAGAUUUUUAUACAUCAACUCAUUCUUUAACUAAUUGUCUGAAAAAUAUUAUGAAUACUUAAUUCAAAAUACAACUUUCAACAACGGAUCUCUUGGCUCUC
rnacentral:misc_RNA from 1 species